rnacentral:tRNA from 1 species
GGCUUGCGUAGCUCCGUGGUAGAGCACUCGCCUAGCCAUGUGGGAGGCCCUGGGUUCCCUCCCCAGUGCUGCCC